UACGUAGGGGGCAAGCGUUGUCCGGAUUUAUUGGGCGUAAAGAGCGUGUAGGCGGCCUGACAGGUCUGCUGUGAAAACUCGAGGCUCAACCUCGAGAUGUCGGCGGAAACCACUUGGCUAGAGUCCGGAAGAGGAGAGUGGAAUUCCCGGUGUAGCGGUGAAAUGCGCAGAUAUCGGGAAGAACACCCGUGGCGAAGGCGGCUCUCUGGGACGGUACUGACGCUGAGACGCGAAAGCGUGGGGAGCGAACAGG
rnacentral:rRNA from 1 species